AUGGGCUCGUCGCCUCCAACGGGCGGCUGGUGUCUUAUUUGGUGCUCUUGGUUUUUAGCCUAUGAUGCAGGAUCUACUCAUGCUGCUACCGGCGUCGUGGCAAGAAUAUCUGAUGGUGAGUUUGUGCUAGCUGCUGCAAGGGGAUACGACAAUAUUCAAAAUCCCCUGACAGCUGAAACACUCGCUUUUAGAGAUGCAAUUACUGAAGCAGUCAAAGAAGGAUGGCAGCAUGUCCAUUUUGAAACAGCUUGUCAAAUAGGUAGUGGAGAAGCUAAGGAAAAUGCUAGUAACUUAGUUCCCCUUAAAGGCGACUGGUAUUGUUCCUUCACCAUAUGA
rnacentral:rRNA from 1 species